rnacentral:rRNA from 1 species
UACGUAGGGGGCGAGCGUUGUCCGGAAUCAUUGGGCGUAAAGCGCACGUAGGCGGGUUGUUAAGUCAGGGGUGAAAUCCCGGAGCUCAACUCCGGAACUGCCUUUGAUACUGGCAAUCUAGAGACUGGAAGAGGUUAGUGGAAUUCCCAGUGUAGAGGUGAAAUUCGUAGAUAUUGGGAAGAACACCAGUGGCGAAGGCGGCUAACUGGUCCAGUACUGACGCUGAGGUGCGAAAGCGUGGGGAGCAAACAGG